ACUAGUUCCAGGCCGGCUUGGCUGCAUUCUACAACAACAAACAACAACCAGAAAAGGAAAUUUUUAUAUUUUUUCAAGUUCAACUUUUCAUCCGGUUUUGCACGGUCCAGCGCUACUUGUGCUCAUCCAACCUGAUUGAACAAAUAAACCCAACAAACGUCCCCCCACCACCAGGAAAAUCUGAUGGCCAAGUCUGCAAAAAGCUGUGCGUGUGUCUGUGUUUAUGGACAAUCCAGUUGGAUCCGGAAGACACGUUUUGAAAGAAA